rnacentral:rRNA from 1 species
GAUGAACGCUGGCGGCGUGCCUAACACAUGCAAGUCGAACGAAGCACCUUACCUGAUUCUUCGGAUGAAAGUUUGGUGACUGAGUGGCGGACGGGUGAGUAACGCGUGGGUAACCUGCCCUGUACAGGGGGAUAACAGCUGGAAACGGCUGCUAAUACCGCAUAAGCGCACGAGGAGACAUCUCCUUGUGUGAAAAACUCCGGUGGUACAGGAUGGGCCCGCGUCUGAUUAGCUGGUUGGCAGGGUAACGGCCUACCAAGGCAACGAUCAGUAGCCGGUCUGAGAGGAUGAACGGCCACAUUGGAACUGGGACACGGUCCAAACUCCUACGGGAGGCAGCAGUGGGGAAUAUUGCACAAUGGGGUAAACCCUGAUGCAGCAACGCCGCGUGAGUGAAGAAGUAUUUCGGUAUGUAAAGCUCUAUCAGCAGGGAAGAUAAUGACGGUACCUGACUAAGAAGCUCCGGCUAAAUACGUG